ensembl:antisense Kank4os KN motif and ankyrin repeat domains 4, opposite strand
AAAAGGAGAGGGACAGACAGGAGAUGGACCAAGAAGACAGACUGAAGAGACAGAUGUAAACCAGCAGGGAGAUUCUGAGAAGUGAAAGAAGAAGCGGGCCGGAACUGAAAGAGAGGAUGGUACAACAUGAAGUCCCUCUGCAAAGGCCAGCACCUCGCUCUUAGAUGUCCUGGCCCUGAGCACCAUGAGUCGGCACCUGGGGCCCUAGAAGUUCUGACUCCUCUCCAAAUGAGACAAAGAUGGCUACCCCUUGACCCAGUCAGAGCUCAGCGCCGCAUUCAAAGAAACAGCAGCUAAGCAGAUAAAAAAUUAAUUGGAAGCUAUCCAAACCUUCACUGUAGUCUCCAGAGAAAAUACCAAAGGGGGAAAGCAUUCUUAGUGCAAAGCAAAACUUCUGCUUUCCUCUCUGCUAUUCUGGGCACCUUGCUCCAAUAGAGCAGCUGCAGCUGCAGCAGCAGCAGCAGCAGCAGCAGCAGCAGCAGCAGCAGCGGAGAGCUUCGUUCCCAGCAUCCUCUGCGGUAUCAUCUCCUGGCGCCUCCACCAGCCUCCUCCCCACCUGGCACAAUUCACCAUCACCAGGUUUUCUCUGCCCUCUCCUCAGGAAUUCCAGUGCUGGCUCCACUGUCCAGGCCUUUAUUUUCUCUGGAUAACCCAGUCUACAUAGUAACAGAGUCACCACCCUGAAGCAGGCUGUGCCUGGCAUUUCCUCAGAAAGGAAUUACUCAGAAGGCUUCACAGGCAAAGUUAUGAACACCCAUUACUAGUUGUAGUCUCCAUUAUAAGUGAUUUAUGGUGAGAGAGCUAAGGCUUAGAAAUGAUGAUGAUAGCGUACAUGGUUACAAUGAUAAUUGUUAUGUACACACUGCCCUGUACUAACGCUAGGGAUGGUUACUUAGUGGUCACGAUAGGUAGGUUACAUCAUUCUCAUGGGCCACAGAUCUACUAUGAGGCAGGGUUCGUCCAACUACAUGGAGCAAGCUCUUAAGCACAGAGUGGAAGGACUCUCUGGGCUCUAGUUUCUGUAACUGUCUGUGAAACAAGUUGGAGCCUAAGCAGAAAGAGAAGAAACCAGACGUUAGCAAAGGUGCCUGGAGAGAUGGCUUAGUGGUAAGAGCACUGGCUGCUCUUCCAGAGGGCCUGGGCCCAAUUCCAAGCAACUACAUGGUGGCUCAUAACUGUCUCCAACUCUAGUUCCAAGGGGGAACUGACAUCCUCCUCUGGCCUCUGUAGGCAUGUGGUACACUGACACUCAUACAGGCAAAACACCCAUAACGUAAAUGAAUUAGUUGGUUUUAACUUUAAGGAGCAGCAAAGGAAGGAGUCUAGACUUAGAUUCCAUUAUAGACUUGUUCAUGGGGUAUCAAGUGACUAUUCAAAUAUAAACAUUUUCAGGGGAGGCAAUAGGUCCAUAACUAAAUUUAUUUGCUAAGGAAUAGAUAGGGGGAAAAUGCAGUCUUACUUAAUCAAUAAAAAUGCAAUUAGGUUUCAGAUAACCUUGACAGGUUACAAGGAGACUUGGGUUGUUUAACAGACAGUAGCAGUCGAGUCACAUGGUCAUCCAUUUUAUAUACAAUAUCAUUUGUAGAACUAGCACUCUGUCAAAAUUUCCAUUCUGAAGACAUAUCUUUGAGCCAGAAACAAGGGUUUGGGGUUGCCAAUUAAUUUUGUUUCUCUGUCAUUUACUGAGUUGUAUAGAGCUGGGAUUAAUGACAUACAUGGUUCCUGCCUUGAAUAACUAGGGAGAUGUCUUUCCCUGCCAAUGGAGCAUUUCCCCAGAGCUAGAGGGAUGCCAUUGCAGCUGCCUUGGGUGGAAAGCCUGUGUUCAAUCCAGUCCUGCUUUCCCAGGUUAAGACUUGAAUUAGAAGUCUGCCCCGGUCCAGUUUUCAACCCUACACCUCCCAUGGCAGAAGAGUAGUGUGCACGGGAGGACUAAGGGCCCAGGACUGGAAUCUGCUUAGACCAGCUGUCCAGGUGAUGCCUCUCACACUCCACUUUGUGUUUUGCUUGUUUUUGACCGGGCUUGCUUCAUAGCCCAGGUUGGCCUCAUAGCCCAGGAUGGCUUCAAGUUCUCUCUUCUCACCUCACUUCUCUUACUACUCAGAUUACAGGCAUAUGUCACCAUGCCUGUCCUUACGUACUUUACAUUUGUGUUUGUAUAAUACGUAGCAUAUUUAUUUACUAUAUUUGUAAUACAAAUGUUUGUUUUGUAUAAAUUAAGUCUAAAUUCCACAUAUGAACAAAAGUAACUCUGUU